rnacentral:rRNA from 1 species
GACGAACGCUAGCGGCGUGCCUAAUACAUGCAAGUCGAACGAACCGCGACUAAGUGCUUGCACUAAGUCAAGGUGAGUGGCGAACGGGUGAGUAACACGUGGGUAACCUACCUCAUAGUGGGGGAUAACAGUCGGAAACGACUGCUAAUACCGCAUAGGACAUAGGAUCACAUGAUCCAGUGAGGAAAGGUGGCGCAAGCUAUCGCUAAGAGAUGGACCCGCGGUGCAUUAGCUAGUUGGUAGGGUAAAGGCCUACCAAGGCGAUGAUGCAUAGCCGACCUGAGAGGGUGAUCGGCCACAUUGGGACUGAGACACGGCCCAAACUCCUACGGGAGGCAGCAGUAGGGAAUCUUCCGCAAAGGACGCAAGUCUGACGGAGCAACGCCGCGUGAGUGAAGAAGGUCUUCGGAUCGUAAAGCUCUGUUGUUAGAGAAGAACAGCGCAUAGAGUAACUGCUAUGCGUGUGACGGUAUCUAACCAGAAAGCCACGGCUAACUACGUG